UACAGAGGUCCCAAGCGUUGUUCGGAUUCACUGGGCGUAAAGGGUGCGUAGGUGGUCGAGUAAGUCUGAUGUGAAAUCUUCGAGCUCAACCCGAAAAUGGCAUUGGAUACUAUUCGGCUGGAGGGUUGGAAGGGGGACUGGAAUUCUCGGUGUAGCAGUGAAAUGCGUAGAUAUCGAGAGGAACACAGGUGGCGAAGGCGAGUCCCUGGACAAUCCCUGACACUGAGGCACGAAAGCUAGGGGAGCAAACAGG
rnacentral:rRNA from 1 species